UGCUAUACAUGCAGUCGAACGCGUUGGCCCAAUUGAUUGAUGGUGCUUGCACCUGAUUGAUUUUGGUCGCCAACGAGUGGCGGACGGGUGAGUAACACGUAGGUAACCUGCCCAGAAGCGGGGGACAACAUUUGGAAACAGAUGCUAAUACCGCAUAACAGCGUUGUUCGCAUGAACAACGCUUAAAAGAUGGCUUCUCGCUAUCACUUCUGGAUGGACCUGCGGUGCAUUAGCUUGUUGGUGGGGUAAUGGCCUACCAAGGCGAUGAUGCAUAGCCGAGUUGAGAGACUGAUCGGCCACAAUGGGACUGAGACACGGCCCAUACUCCUACGGGAGGCAGCAGUAGGGAAUCUUCCACAAUGGGCGCAAGCCUGAUGGAGCAACACCGCGUGAGUGAAGAAGGGUUUCGGCUCGUAAAGCUCUGUUGUUAAAGAAGAACACGUAUGAGAGUAACUGUUCAUACGUUGACGGUAUUUAACCAGAAAGUCACGGCUAACUACGUGCCAGCAGCCGCGGUAAUACGUAGGUGGCAAGCGUUAUCCGGAUUUAUUGGGCGUAAAGAGAGUGCAGGCGGUUUUCUAAGUCUGAUGUGAAAGCCUUCGGCUUAACCGGAGAAGUGCAUCGGAAACUGGAUAACUUGAGUGCAGAAGAGGGUAGUGGAACUCCAUGUGUAGCGGUGGAAUGCGUAGAUAUAUGGAAGAACACCAGUGGCGAAGGCGGCUACCUGGUCUGCAACUGACGCUGAGACUCGAAAGCAUGGGUAGCGAACAGGAUUAGAUACCCUGGUAGUCCAUGCCGUAAACGAUGAGUGCUAGGUGUUGGAGGGUUUCCGCCCUUCAGUGCCGGAGCUAACGCAUUAAGCACUCCGCCUGGGGAGUACGACCGCAAGGUUGAAACUCAAAGGAAUUGACGGGGGCCCGCACAAGCGGUGGAGCAUGUGGUUUAAUUCGAAGCUACGCGAAGAACCUUACCAGGUCUUGACAUCUUGCGCCAACCCUAGAGAUAGGGCGUUUCCUUCGGGAACGCAAUGACAGGUGGUGCAUGGUCGUCGUCAGCUCGUGUCGUGAGAUGUUGGGUUAAGUCCCGCAACGAGCGCAACCCUUGUUACUAGUUGCCAGCAUUAAGUUGGGCACUCUAGUGAGACUGCCGGUGACAAACCGGAGGAAGGUGGGGACGACGUCAGAUCAUCAUGCCCCUUAUGACCUGGGCUACACACGUGCUACAAUGGACGGUACAACGAGUCGCGAACUCGCGAGGGCAAGCAAAUCUCUUAAAACCGUUCUCAGUUCGGACUGCAGGCUGCAACUCGCCUGCACGAAGUCGGAAUCGCUAGUAAUCGCGGAUCAGCAUGCCGCGGUGAAUACGUUCCCGGGCCUUGUACACACCGCCCGUCACACCAUGAGAGUUUGUAACACCCAAAGUCGGUGGGGUAACCUUUUAGGAGCCAGCCGCCUAA
rnacentral:rRNA from 1 species